rnacentral:misc_RNA from 1 species
GAGCCUCUUCUCACCCCUGGAAGGUGGAGGUCAGUCUGAGAUCAGGAAGUGGCAGCAAUCCCUCCGCUACCCUCAUCGGGAACACCACGGUGUCCUUCAUCGACGGUUACGCCAACUUCAGCGGUCUAGGAAUCUCUCACAGCGGCUCUGGGUAUAUCUUGGACUUCAAGGUCAUUGAUCCCACAGAAGCGACCUUCACCCUAGCCUCUGCAGCCAUCAGUGUGGCAGAGCGACUCUUGACCUCUGCUGUGACCUACACCUCCCCCGACAUCUACCACGGUAGUGCCCACACGGUCAGUCUGGAUAUCAGGGACAAAACAAGUGGGGCGCCCUUGACAGACAUUGCUUGGAGUGGACUGAACUGGUACGCUAACAUUUCCCUGGUAACUGGACUCACCUACACCGGCUCAAUGACUAGUACAGCAACCAAAGCUUUUGACCCAGUCUCUGGUCUAGUGACCGUGAACGACCUUCAGAUGGACACCGUCGGAAUGGCCCAUGUCAAGUUCACCGUGUACUCUGUCCCCACCCACUACUCCCACGAGGUCAUUCACGAGCUGUCUCUGUAUCCCGCCGAGGCCCAGUCGGUGACCAUUGACACCACUAGUGCCAUCAAGGUCAAGUUCGAUCUGGACUAUGCCACCUAUGGUACCACGCAGUUCGGAGCCGUCGUCGUGAACUACUUCCAGUCAAGGUUCAAGUACAUGAAGAUGUCCAGCUUAGAAGUCAGCCAAGGAAGUGUGAUCGUGGCUGUGACCGUGUCCGGGAACUCUACAACAGUCCUGGAAGUGACAGAAGCCAUGUGUGACGCCAUUAAAUCGGGCACCAGCUUCACAUACCAGGGAACCAGUGUACAGCUCUCAAAUAUAUGACAGUCAAUGGAGCCAGCUACUGCAGUGACGAGGAUGAUGAUGACGAGGAGGUCAAGGCUUUGAUGAUCGUCGGAAUCUGUGUUGCCAUUCUCAUGAUCAUCCUCAUCAUUGUCGCCAUCAUGGUUUGGAGGCUGAAGGUCUACCCCAAGACAAAGACCCACCGUAUGCACAGUGACGGCGAUGCUGUUUACAUCGGUAAGGGCAAGGGCACCUUCUUCUUCGAGGACAGUUUCUACCGACAGGACACCUUUAACAGCCUGCGUACAGAAAACUCCUUCUUGGAAGGCUGCCAGAAACCACCCAUCAAUACCACCUUCUACGAAAAAGAGAAGGGAAAUGGUGGCUCUGCCCUCAGCAGGCAUUUCUAGAUAGCCGGAAAAUGUUGUUAAAAAAGAUAUCCCAGCAUCUGGACUAAGUGAACAAACUAUUUUUAUUGUUAUAUAUUUAUAAAGCAGUUUCUACCGUCCAUGGAAACUUUGAUAUUUGACACUGUUAGUUGAUUCUUUAUUGUUUUGUUUGAUUCUCUAGAUUUUUACAUCUGUGAUAUAUAUUCUCUGUGAUACACGAAAGUUACGUUUAUAAUAUUGUUGACAAUCUAACCCAGUAGAGAUGAAGUCUUGUCUUACUGAAUAAAAAUUCUCAACAUAG